CCUAUUUCUUGAACUUUUUCAUGUUUUAGCAGCUGCAGCUUAUUGGUGCAUUAUUGGCUGUAGGUGCGUUUUUCCACCUACAUUUUCAGUACCAAGAUUGUUGGAGCUGGGACUAUGAAUCCUCUGACAUUUCUAAGAAGAGAAGAAGUUCGUGACUUCAAUGACUUCAAUGACUGUGCUUAGUUUGUAAUUUGUAAUUCAAUAAGUUUCUGUAGUAAGAAGUUCUU